rnacentral:rRNA from 1 species
CGCACGACCUCAGAGCAGGCGAGACUACCCGCUGAACUUAAGCAUAU